GUGGGGAAUAUUGGACAAUGGGCGAAAGCCUGAUCCAGCCACGCCGCGUGUGUGAUGAAGGCCUUCGGGUCGUAAAGCACUGUGGAGGGGGAAGAACAGGUAGCGGGAACAAUACCCCGCUGCACUGACGGUACCCCUUUAGCAAGCACCGGCUAACUCCGUGCCAGCAGCCGCGGUAAUACGGAGGGUGCAAACGUUGCUCGGAAUCAUUGGGCGUAAAGCGCGUGUAGGCGGCGCGUUAAGUCGAGUGUGAAAGCCCUGGGCUCAACCCAGGAAGUGCGCUCGAUACUGGCGCGCUUGAGUACGGGAGAGGGUAGCGGAAUUCCCGGUGUAGAGGUGAAAUUCGUAGAUAUCGGGAGGAACACCAGUGGCGAAGGCGGCUACCUGGACCGAUACUGACGCUGAGACGCGAAAGCGUGGGUAGCAAACAGGAUUAGAAACCCGAGUAGUCC
rnacentral:rRNA from 1 species